rnacentral:rRNA from 1 species
CCUUAUGGCCUUACCACCUUGGACAUACCUUAUCUUGUCUUCUCUUGGAAACUAAACAGGGUUACACCUGGUUAGUUCUUAGAUGGGAGAACACCAGGUGCUGUAAGCU